rnacentral:rRNA from 1 species
GACGAACCGUGCGAACGUUAUUCGGAAUCACUGGGCUUAAAGCGCGUGUAGGCGGGCCGCCGCGUCGGCUGCUGAAAUCCCCCAGCUCAACCGGGGAACGGGCACCGAUACGGGCGGCCUCGAGGGGGGUAGGGGGGUCUGGAACUUCCGGUGGAGCGGUGAAAUGCGUUGAGAUCGGAAGGAACGCCCGUGGCGAAAGCGAGGCCCUGGACCCUUUCUGACGCUGAGACGCGAAAGCCAGGGGAGCGAACGGG